UAAAAGAUAAGCUAAAAAAGAAGCUAAUGGGCUCAUACCCCGUAAAUGAGAAUAAUUCUCUCUUUUUA
rnacentral:tRNA from 1 species